ensembl:lncRNA
CUUUGAAUUAAGUUUGGUUUGACUUUGCUGCACAGUAACAACCUGCAUGUUUCCACACCUAUCUGUAUGUGGGCACAGAGAAGUAGCAGAGAGGAUUGCUCCUGUACUCGCAAUAGAAGGCUCUCUAGGAUGUACACUGCAUGGUUUGGUCACUCCCAAGAAGACGGAAGACUGGAAGAAAAACAACAACAAAACCCCAAGCAGAAUAGCAGAAGGUUGGCUGACAAGGUCGCUAAUGAGUACCAGGCUGCUGGCAUUGCUUUAUUUAUUUAUUAGAAAGAGAAGAGCAGUGAAGCAUUUAAAACAGUCACAUACAAGGAGCCAUACAAUUUUUUGCAGUGACACACAGUGAGACAGAAAUAAAGUUGGGUCAAGACACA